rnacentral:rRNA from 1 species
CCUACGGGUGGCUGCAGUGGGGAAUAUUGGUCAAUGGCCGGAAGGCUGAACCAGCCAUGCCGCGUGAAGGUCAGUGCCCUAUGGGCGUUAAACUUCUUUUGUGCGGGAGCAAUAAUGGUCACGUGUGGCCAGACGAGAGUACCGUACGACUAAGCAUCGGCUACCUCCGUGCAAGCAGCCGCGGGAAUACGGGGGAUGCAAGCGUUAUCCGGAUUUAUUGGGUUUAAAGGGUGCGUAGGCGGUGAGGUAAGUCAGCGGUGAAAUGACCCCGCUCAACGGGGGGAAGUGCCAUUGAUACUGCCUGGCUGGAAGGCGGAUGCGGUGGGAGGAAUGUGUGGUGUAGCGGUGAAAUGCAUAGAUAUCACACAGAACACCGAUUGCGAAGGCAUCUCACGAAUCCGCGAUUGACGCUGAGGCACGAAAGCGUGGGUAUCAAACAGGAUUAGAUACCCUGGUAGUC